rnacentral:tRNA from 1 species
GGGAAUGUGGCUCAGUGGUAGAGUGCUUGCCUGGCAUGCAUGAGGCCCUGGGUUUGAUCCCUAGCACCA